rnacentral:rRNA from 1 species
UAAGUAGGCGGUGGAAAAUGAACCAAAUGGGAUUCCUUAAGUAAUUGCGAAUGAACAAGGAAUUGCUCAGCUUGAAAAUUGGGGCCUUCGGCCUUGAAUUGUAAUUUUGAAAUGUAUUGCCAAUGGAGGCGCAGGUGCAAGCCUAUUGAAAGAAAGCGUCAAUGAGGGUGAGAUUCCUUUUUGUCAUUUGCAGUCCUCCGUGCACGGUGUAUAUUUGACGAGUCACACUCCUCGGCAUUGGAAUGCAAAGUGGGUGGUAAAUUCCAUGUAAAGGAAAAUAUAUUAUUGAGACUGAUAGCAAACAAGUACCAUGAGGGAAAUAUGAAAAGGACUUUGAAAAGAGAAUUAAAAGAGUCUGCAUUUGCUGAACAGAAAGCAAACAGAAUUGAUCUACUUGGUGAGAUUGUUGCGUCCACUUGUGGGCGCAAUGGUUCUUGCCUUGGAUGUCAGCGUCUAUUUCUGCAAAUCAUUACCCUUGCACAUGAAUGGUAAUUUGCCUGUGGGCAUUGGAAUGCAUGUGUUUGCAAUGAUUUGUGUUUUGAUACAUGUGUCUGGCGUUCGUGUGUGUGCCUUCUUGCCAACAGGGGAGGGCUCUCCUCCCUGGGCACUGCAAAGCCCUUGCAC